GGGGUGGGGUCCCGGGUCUGCUCAGGAGCUGGGGCAUGGGCACUUGGAACGGGGAUUGCUCUCCCGCCCCCACUAUUGUACGGACGACAACGCGGAGGCCUAGCAUUCUCUCCCAGCCUAGAAACUGAUCCCUAGUCAGCCCUCUACCAUCUGUUGAAUGGGAAGCUUAGACCGUGAUCGGGCCGCGACGCCCCGCUUCCAUUAGUGCGCCGAAAUAGAGGGUCACUUCGUCAGCUGAGACCUCCCUUUUCUCCAGGCCACGGGGACAGACCAGGUGGUGGGACUCGGCCUCGUCGCCGUUAGCCUGAUCAUCUUCACCUACUACACCGCCUGGGUGAUUCUCUUGGACUGUUCAUCUCCUACGUGAUGCUGAAGAGCAAGAGAGUGACCAAGAAGGCUCAGUGAAGGUCCCGCAGGGAUGAGGCUGCCAGCCCCUUCUCUGCUUCCCCUCCAGCACAGGGACCAAGUGGGGGAGCCUGCAGAACCUGUCCAGGCACAGUGGCUCCUCAAGCCUGCCUGUCCUGCAGAGUCCCCAUGGCAUGGAGCUUACACCUGACUGACUGGAGCCCCCUCCCCGACUCCCACUUCCAGAAGCUAGGAGGGAGGGAUACCUGGAAGACUCCGGUCACCUCCUUCUUGCUCAGGGCCUAAAAGAUGCUGGUCCUCCCGACCUCACUCUCAGACUCCCUGCCACCUUUUCCCCUGGGUUCUGCCGUCUUGCCUCACUUCCCCUCCUGUCACAUG
rnacentral:sRNA from 1 species